rnacentral:rRNA from 1 species
UACAGAGACUGCAAGCGUUAUUCGGAUUCACUGGGCGUAAAGAGCGCGCAGGCGGUCGAUCAAGUCGCGUGUGAAAGCCCCCGGCUCAACUGGGGAGGGUCACGCGAUACUGAUCGACUCGAAGGCAGGAGAGGGUAGUGGAAUUCCCGGUGUAGUGGUGAAAUGCGUAGAUAUCGGGAGGAACACCAGUGGCGAAGGCGACUACCUGGCCUGUUCUUGACGCUGAGGCGCGAAAGCUAGGGGAGCAAACGGG